GAUUAACGCUGGCGGCGUGCCUAACACAUGCAAGUCGAGCGGCAGCGAGUUUUACACUGAAUUCUGGAAGCUUCUAGUUGAAAGAGAAGAUUUAUUCAAGAAUUUUGUGUAAAAUGUCGGCGAGCGGCGGACGGCUGAGUAACGCGUGGGAACGUACCCCAAAGUGAGGGAUAACGCAUCGAAAGGUGUGCUAAUACCGCAUAUGGUCUUCGGAUUAAAGCCUUCGGGCGCUUUGGGAACGGCCUGCGUAAGAUUAGAUAGUUGGUGGGGUAAUGGCCUACCAAGUCGACGAUCUUUAACUGGUUUGAGAGGAUGAUCAGUCAGACUGGAACUGAGACACGGUCCAGACUCCUACGGGAGGCAGCAGUGAGGAAUCUUACACAAUGGGCGAAAGCCUGAUGGAGCAACGCCGCGUGCAGGAUGAAGGCCUUCGGGUUGUAAACUGCUUUUAUAAGUGAGGAUUAUGACAGUAACUGAUGAAUAAGGAUCGGCUAACUACGUG
rnacentral:rRNA from 1 species